rnacentral:rRNA from 1 species
GAACGCUGGCGGCAUGCCUUACACAUGCAAGUCGAACGGCAGCACGGGAGCAAUCCUGGUGGCGAGUGGCGAACGGGCGAGUAAUAUAUCGGAACGUGCCCAGUCGUGGGGGAUAACGCAGCGAAAGCUGUGCUAAUACCGCAUACGAUCUAUGGAUGAAAGCGGGGGAUCGCAAGACCUCGCGCGAUUGGAGCGGCCGAUAUCAGAUUAGCUAGUUGGUGGGGUAAAGGCCCACCAAGGCGACGAUCUGUAGCUGGUCUGAGAGGACGACCAGCCACACUGGAACUGAGACACGGUCCAGACUCCUACGGGAGGCAGCAGUGGGGAAUUUUGGACAAUGGGCGCAAGCCUGAUCCAGCAAUGCCGCGUGCAGGAUGAAGGCCUUCGGGUUGUAAACUGCUUUUGUACGGAACGAAACGGUCCUUUCUAAUAUAAGGGGCUAAUGACGGUACCGUAAGAAUAAGCACCGGCUAACUACGUGCCAGCAGCCGCGGUAAUA